GUCUGCAAUCAGCGUGCGCGCACGACAACGUACGUGAACCGUGUUUGGUAUUUAUAUCUGUGUUUGUUGGCUCAGUGCAUCUUUCUGUUUUCACGAUGUGUUACAAGGGAAAAUGUUUACAUUGUAUCGAAGUGGAGACAGGUUCACUCAUCUGGGCUAUUAUUAAUGUGAUCCUGACAGGAUUGGCGUGUCUGAUAUGCAUUGGUAUCUUAAUCUGUUUAAACGUCAUGGUAAUAAAGGACGUAGAUUUCGAGGCACAAAUGAAUGGUUAUGCCGUGGUAGUAAAUGGUCUGUACAACCUUAUAUGUAUGGUUGCGCUAACAUUUAGUGCUAUUGACUUCAUGUUCUCGAUGUUCUUGCUUGUGGGCGUCAUCAAAAAACACGUGGGAUAUGUGAAGGCAUACUACUUUUAUGGUUUGGUGAAAAUUAUUAUUACUUCCCUUGGCCUUAUUGGUGUCUUAACGGAAAUGGAUUAUUAUGCAGCGUUUUUUGUAAAUUUGUCGGUGUAUGUGUUCCACUAUUUGGUACUGCAGAUGGUUCGCAACACUUACUUGAAGUUCAACGAGGGCUCAAUUAUCCAACAAUUUAUGCACAAGCCCCUUGUUUAAGGCCGAUUUCAUAUUUUUUUCACCUUUUUAUAUUUUCAAUUAUUUUUUCAACUUAGUAUAAAUAGGGUGGUAAUGGAAGCUUUUAAAAUUAUGCUCGUAAGGCUAUGGGUCAACAUCAUUAAUACCAGACCGGCAAGGCACUCGCGAGCCCUCUGGCAUUGAGUGUCUAUGGGCGGCGGUAUCACAACAUCAGGUGAGCCUCCUGCCCGUUUGCCCUCUGUUCUAUAAAAAAAAAACAUUUGUAAUUGCUAAGACUCGUGAGUAAGAUUUUUUAAUUUAAAAAAAGCUUUGGUUAUUAUUCUAAGACAUCUAGAAUUAUUGUAAUGUUAACAAUGUUUUUGUAUGCGUGCAUAUGUAAUGUCAUGUCAUCAACUAUUUGCCAUAUAAAUUGUAUUAGUUUGUAUUAAGUUUGGAGUGCGAAUUAUGUGUACGUGCGUUUUACUGCAUAAACAUAUACUAAAUAACACAGAUUUUCCCAGCUUCAGUUCCAGUCCAGUUAAGGUCCAUCUUUAGGUCUUGAAAUAUAUUUAAAAAAAAAACAUGCAAUAUUUAUACAGGUUAUGGUUAGGUUAGGUUAUCAAUUAUAUAACUCCUAGUUCAACGUUACUAAUACAAAUCUUAAUUUGAAAUGAUUUUUUUCGUUCUAUCAGCUGUAACAACGUGGGGAUAAUAAAAGUAAACUAAUUUGAAAGAAACAUUACAGCAAUUCUUGUUCAGCUUACCUGCGAUACACAUAUGGAGAUUUUUAAUAAUUUUUAAAAGACCAUGAUGAACGGGUUUUCUAACGUCAUGAGACAUUUGGGCACCUCUACCUAUAAGGAAAUUCAAGAAAAAGCUUUUUAAUUUACCGCCUAUAGUUAUUUUUAACGAACAAACCGUUAAAACUGAUAUUAUAAAUAUAAUUGAUUUAUUAGAACUAGCUCACUGAAUUCAUUUAAUUGAUCAUAUUAGGUUACUAUUAUGAUCAACCAAUGUAAUUGAAU